rnacentral:rRNA from 1 species
UACAGAGGUCUCAAGCGUUGUUCGGAUUAUUGGGCGUAAAGGGCGCGUAGGCGGCGGGGUAAGUCGGGUGUGAAAUCUCAGGGCUCAACCUGAAACUGCACUUGAUACUGCUCUGCUUGAGGACUGGAGAGGAGACUGGAAUUCACGGUGUAGCAGUGAAAUGCGUAGAUAUCGUGAGGAAGACCAGUGGCGGAAGGCGGCCUCCUGGA